GGGGGGGCGGCGGGUGUAGGGCUUGCUGCUCCCUGAGCCGGGAGCUGACCAUGGUCCUGAAGAUGCCCUCAGGGACCACGCACUCACCACCUCAGCGUCUGUGUUAGAACUCCGUCAGUUCAAAAGAAAAGUUAAGUGGGAGGUCGUGAUGGUUCCUUUCAUCACACAACAUUCACGUGUAAACACUCACUAUACACCUGAGUACUGAGGAGUCAGUGGGAGUCAGGAGUGGCUGUCGUCAUUCUCAGCUUGGCAUGGAUGUUUUUCAGUGUAAGAGAGUUUCACAGUUGCAUUUUGGUCUCCAAGUACUGCUUGAGAUCCUAAACCGUGGCUUGUAUCACCUUGUUUUCCAGCUAGUCAGUUACAGUUAUUAAGCACUAUGCUCAAAAAUAUCUAAACUAAACUGGAAGAAUGUAAGAUGCCAAGCCUGGAAGUCAUUUCUCCAGAGGCCACGCAGUUUUCUUGGGUUCUCUAGGUUCGUAAGGCUGAAGUGUCCAAACUAUGGGUCGCAGUAAAUAACCUGAACCGAACAGGGGCUAUGAGGUCCCUUCCUUUCCCACGGGAGUGGCAUCUCAGAGGAGGAAGGAGGAGAAAACCUUUCCAGGGGUACAGGCUGUGGACCCUGUGGUGCAGCACAGAGGAGGGUUGAGGCACAAGACAAAGAUUACAGGACCCAGAGCAGCAGAAGGCAAGGCGACCACUGCUCCAGAGUCCAGAUGUGCUGUUGUUGGGACCAGGAAAGCGGCGGGAUUUCCAUUUAUAAAUAUGAAGGGAGUGAACACAUGGAUUGAUUUUAGUCCAUCUGUAGACUAAUUUUUACCUUGCUAAUUUUAAGUUUUAGGAAAGCUAUCUUUGUACAUUUUGAUCAACAUUCUUGUUUCCUUUUUUAAGAAAGGGGGUCAUUCCAAUGUUGGGAUGUUGGAAACACAGUAAAAAUUGUGUUUGCCAGUGAAGAACUUACAGUCCAAGAGCAAUGACCAGGGCAGGGUGGUUUCAUCUGAAAUCAUACAUGUCAUUGGCACCUUGGAGGAUUCUACUCUAAUCCCUGAAAAAGGGUCUCAAUUCUCCAUUUCCUCCUCUGUGAAUGAUGCCACAGCUGGUUUAUACACUCAGUAACCCAUUCCCCAAUAAACAUGAUCUGUGUGUAAUGUAAUGCUGAUCACCUGUUUUGUAAAUGGGCAGAGUGGGGGAGUGGGAGAAGUUAUGCUGAAAUAUGGAUAGCAGCUAUUUUUGUAUGUAAUAUAGGCAAUAUACUGAAACUCUGAGAGUUGUAUUGGAAUAAAUACCCUUUAAAAUAAAAGCAUGCAAAACUGUAGCUUUUAAAUGUACAGACAACCAGUUCAAAAAUAUUUAAACUGAUGGGAAAACCACUGAAGCCUGGCAUCGUGAAACUAGGGGCUGUGGCCUGGACAGUCUGCGGCUCACGUUGGGACGGUCGGUGGGAUCUGCCAGAACACUUUCACCUCCCCCUUCCUUCCUUUUGGAUUUUUCUUUCUUUCCCCUCCUGGAAAUCUUUCAGAACUAAAGUGACUUCAUUUUCCAGCAUAAACGUAUAUUCUAACCACAGGGUAACUCAUCCUUUUUAACAUGAAAAUAAACAU
ensembl:lncRNA